UUAAUAUUCCAUCUUUUGACAUCUGUUGAGAGGAGUCAUUACAGAAAUGGUUGAAUUUACCAAACUGAUAAUUAUCAAUUUUUUAAACCAAUAAUAGACAAAAUGUGUCGCUUUGCUGUUGUUUUAUUGACCUUGAAAUUAAUACAUGAAAUUUUUAUAUUUCAACAAUGAAGAUUUCGAGGUGAAGGGUGCUGUUUAAGUACCGUUUUAAGAUGUCAGUUCAUGUCAGAUCACUUAUUUCAUACAAAGGUAUUAUUCGUCUUUUAGGUUUUUGUUCAGUCGAUAAUAAUGGAUAAAUUUGGAAACUUCUUGAAAGGUGCUGAAGAUAUGGCAAAUGCACUAGGAACAUCUGGUAACGGACAGAUUGAUCGGGGUGAUGGAAAAAUUGUUGCCUGGUCAUUCAAAGGUCAGAUAAUUGGGAUUGAGUGGAAAUACAUAGGUAUUUGUGUGGAUAAAGCCACAGGAGAAACAACUACUGCUAUAACCUCAAGCAAAGGAGGGGCAAUUGAGCAUUCCAUGAAAGACCUGUUCCAGAGGCUGGCAUCAAAGAAUGCGUUAUAAAAUUAAUGUACUUAUUUUUAACUCAGCACUAUCUUAUGUAUUCUCUGUAUAAUAGUAUACACAUCCGGCCAUUUUUGAUUUUUAUAUAAUUAAUGAAAUAUCGUGCAUUAUAAUCUAUAUAUAUUUUUAGAUUGUUUAGUGAACACAAAUUGUAUCGUUCAGUUUUAUCUUAUGUAUUACACCUUUUCUCAUAUUAAUUCCUGUACUUUUACAAUUUAAUUGAAUUGAUCCGAUACUUUAUACACUAUUGUAUAACAAUAAAAUGUACAAUGAAUA